UGAGCAACCUGCCCUUGACUCCGGAAUAACAGCUGGAAACAGCUGCUAAUACCGGAUACGACCUCCGAUGGCAUCAUCUGGAGGUGGAAAGCUCCGGCGGAGAAGGAUGAGCUCGCGGCCUAUCAGCUAGUUGGUGUGGGUAACGGCCCACCAAGGCGACGACGGGUAGCCGGCCUGAGAGGGUGACCGGCCACACUGGGACUGAGACACGGCCCAGACUCCGUAGGGA
rnacentral:rRNA from 1 species